rnacentral:rRNA from 1 species
UGGGGAAUAUUGCACAAUGGGCGCAAGCCUGAUGCAGCAACGCCGCGUGAGGGACGACGGCCUUCGGGUUGUAAACCUCUUUUGGCAGGGAAGAAGCGAAAGUGACGGUACCUGCAGAAAAAGCACCGGCUAACUACGUGCCAGCAGCCGCGGUGAUACGUAGGGUGCAAGCGUUGUCCGGAAUUAUUGGGCGUAAAGAGCUCGUAGGCGGUUUGUCGCGUCUGCUGUGAAAACCCGAGGCUCAACCUCGGGCCUGCAGUGGGUACGGGCAAACUAGAGUGCGGUAGGGGAGACUGGAAUUCCUGGUGUAGCGGUGGAAUGCGCAGAUAUCAGGAGGAACACCGAUGGCGAAGGCAGAUCUCUGGGCCGUAACUGACGCUGAGGAGCGAAAGCAUGGGGAGCGAACA